rnacentral:rRNA from 1 species
AUUGAACGCUGGCGGCAGGCCUAACACAUGCAAGUCGAACGAGUGGCGGACGGGCGAGUCAUGUCUGUGCAACUGCCUGAUGGAGGGGGAUAACUACUGGAAACGGUAGCUCAUACCGCCUACCAUCUGAUGUGCCCCGAUGGGAUUAAAUAGUUGGUGGGGUAAAGGCUCACCUAGGCUACGAUCCCUAGCUGGUCUGAGAGGAUGACCAGCCACACUGGAACUGAGACCAGGUCCAGACUCCUACGGGAGGCAGCAGUGGGGAAGAUUGCACAAUGGGCGCAAGCCUGAUGCAGCCAUGCCGCGUGUAGGAAGAAGGCAUUCGGGUUGUAAAGUACUUGCAGCGGGGAGUCGUUACCCGCAGAAGAAGCACCGGCUAACUCCGUGCCAGCCGCCGCGGUAAUAC